ensembl:lncRNA
CUAUGCUACUUUUUUGAUAUGCUAAUAACAAACCAUGUAAUAGGCUAUGCUACGUUAUAAAAUAUGCUAAUCCUAAUCCUGUUUAAUGCUUUGCUACGUGGUGCGGCCUACCUCGGGCCCUGGGGUCCUCCCGGUCGGUUGCGGUGCUGGAGCUGCUGGUCGUCAUGGUGAAGGAGGACUCGCUCUGCAGCAGCUUGGCGACGCGGACGGCCAGGGAGCUGUCGCUGCUGUUCCCGUCGCUCAGCACGCCGUGCGCAGGCUCCGCCUCCACCACAGAGGCGGGGGAGGAGGGGGAAGGGGCGGGGCUCCCUGGCUCCUCCUCUUCCGGUGCCUCAGUGGGUUCGGGGGUCAGCCGAGGUUCAGAGGUCAGCCGAGGUUCAGAGGUUGUCUGAGGGUCAGGGGUCAGCCGAGGUUCAGGGGUCAACCGAGGGUCAGUGGUCAGUUGAGGGUCAGGGGUCAACUGGCGGUCAGAGGUCAACUGAGGUUCAAGGGUCAGCUGAGGGUCAGGGGUCAGCCGAGGGUCAGGAGUCGUCUGAGGACCGGCGGACAUCUUCACCAAGGGGACGGCGAUCGUGGUCGUCAGGGGAACGUUGGUUCCGUCGGGGGGCGCGGCACUGCAGCCCUCAGGCUCCGCCCUCCUCGUUGUCUUGGCGACGAGGGGGGGCGGCUGCGACGACCCGCUCACAGAGCCCGCCUCCUGCCGUGUCGGUUGGCCGGCGGGGUGUGGCGGCGGGUGGUCCGGUCGCCGUGGCGACGGACCGGAAUCUCUCGGCGCCAGCAUGGAGUCGGACGAGGAGCGGGCCCACCGCGGGACAGAGGAGGAGGAGGAGCCAUCCAGUCCUCCCGCCCCCGCCCAGGAGGUGAAGGCGGAGUCUUGGAACACGGCCGCGCCCCCCCUCCUCCUCAGAGCGAGGAGGAGGUCGUCGUCGGAGUGGGGUCGCGACAUGGGCAAGGAGGAGGAGGAGGACACUCCCAGGGGGUUCUGGGUGGGAGGUGUGUAAGUGCCCACGGGGGCCUCCGCGGCGGUCCUCCUAGCGCAGGAGCUAGCCUGCGGCGGUGACACCAACGACUUCCUGUCUCUCGCCGUGCUGUCAGUCAGCGUGGACGAGCUGCUAGCCUCAAACCGGUCGCUGAGUCGGACGGGGACGCGGCCAGCGCCAACGCUAGUGCUAAUGCUAGUCUGGCUACUGCUAGAGCGGCUAACGCCGGCAUGGUGAUCGUGAGCACUUCGGACCUUAGCGUGGCUAACGCUGGCGUGCCUAGCACUAGCAUGGCUAACCCUAGCAUGCCGGUUACUGCUCACAUGGCUACCGCUAGCGUGCCUAGCACUAGCAUGGCUGACCCUAGCAUGGCGAUCGCUAGAACGGUUACUGCUCUCAUGGCUACCGCUAGCGUGCGUAGCACGAGCAUGGCUAACCCUAGCAUGGCGAUUACUAGAACAGUUACUGCUCACUUGGCUACCGCUAGCAUGGCUACCACUAUCAUGGCUAACUAUAGCAUGGCAGUCACGAGACGGCUACCGCUAGCGUGGGUGUGGCUAGCGAGGCUGGGGUUUGUUUGGGAGUCGCGUUGGGGGCUGGUCCGGCGAGGGGGAGACAGUGGGUUGGGCGUGAGCCGCUGGACAGAGGCUGUCCACGCUGAGCGUCACCGACACGCUGGAGUCCAGAGACAGCACGCUGCACUGGGAGACGUCCGGCUUAUGGGGGCUGUCGCCUGGCGGAGGAGAGAAGGAGGUAGAGGAGUUCAUCCACAUUCAGGGCAAUCACAUCAGUCUGGAGAUAGCUAUGUGUGAUGAAGAUGAGAAGACACCUCGGCGCUUAAAAGGGGACAAAUUAAACCACCAGGUGUGAGUUUGAUUAGCCGUUACACGCCGUUUCGAAAU